rnacentral:rRNA from 1 species
CACGUAGGGCGCGAGCGUUGUCCGGAAUUAUUGGGCGUAAAGAGCUCGUAGGCGGCCUGUUGCGUCCGCUGUGAAAGCCCGGGCUUAACCCCGGGUCGGCAGUGGAUACGGGCAGGCUAGAGGUAGGUAGGGGAGAAUGGAAUUCCCGGUGUAGCGGUGAAAUGCGCAGAGUAUCGGGAGGAACACCGGUGGCGAAGGCGGUUCUCUGGGCCUUACCUGACGCUGAGGAGCGAAAGCGUGGGGAGCGAACAGG